rnacentral:rRNA from 1 species
AUUGAACGCUGGCGGCAUGCCUUACACAUGCAAGUCGAACGGCAGCACGGGUGCUUGCACCUGGUGGCGAGUGGCGAACGGGUGAGUAAUACAUCGGAACAUGUCCUGUAGUGGGGGAUAGCCCGGCGAAAGCCGGAUUAAUACCGCAUACGAUCUACGGAUGAAAGCGGGGGACCUUCGGGCCUCGCGCUAUCGGGGUGGACGAUGGCUGAUUAGCUAGUUGGUGGGGUAAAGGCCUACCAAGGCGACGAUGAGUAGCUGGUCUGAGAGGACGACCAGCCACACUGGGACUGAGACACGGCCCAGACUCCUACGGGAGGCAGCAGUGGGGAAUUUUGGACAAUGGGCGAAAGCCUGAUCCAGCAAUGCCGCGUGUGUGAAGAAGGCCUUCGGGUUGUAAAGCACUUUUGUCCGGAAAGAAAUCCUUGGCCCUAAUACGGUCGGGGGAUGACGGUACCGGAAGAAUAAGCACCGGCUAACUACGUG